rnacentral:rRNA from 1 species
CCUACGGGUGACAGCAGUGGGGAAUAUUGGGCAAUGGGCGCAAGCCUGACCCAGCAACGCCGCGUGAAGGAAGAAGGCUUUCGGGUUGUAAACUUCUUUUCUCAGGGACGAAGAAAGUGACGGUACCUGAGGAAUAAGCCACGGCUAACUACGUCCCAGCAUCCGCGGUAAUACGUAGGUGGCAAGCGUUAUCCGGAUGUACUGGGUGUAAGGGGCGUGUAGGCGGGGAAGCAAGUCAGAUGUGAAAACCACGGGCUCAACCGGUGACCUGCAUUUGAAACUGUUUUUCGUGAGUACUGGAGAGGCAGACGGAAUGCCUAGUGUAGCGGUGAAAUGCGUAGAUAUUAGGAGGAACACCAGUGGCGAAGGCAGUCUGCUGGACAGCAACUGACGCUGAGGCGCGAAAGCGUGGGGAGCAAACAGGAUUAGAUACCCUAGUAGUC